CCAAUAGCGUAUAUUAAAGUUGUUGCAGUUAAAAAGCUCGUAGUUGAAUUUCGGGGUUAGUAAGUUGGUUGUGCCACUGGUAUGUACUGGCUUUACUGAUUCCUCCUUCUUGUAGAACCGUAAUGCCAUUAAGUUGGUGUUGCGGGGAAACAGGACUGUUACUUUGAAAAAAUUAGAGUGUUUAAAGCAAGCUAACGCUUGAAUACAUUAGCAUGGAAUAAUGAAAUAGGACGUUCGAUCCUAUUUUGUUGGUUUCUAGGAUUGACGUAAUGAUUAAUAGGGAUAGUUGGGGGCAUUAGUAUUCAAUUGUCAGAGGUGAAAUUCUUGGAUUUAUUGAAGACUAACUACUGCGAAAGCAUUUGCCAAGGAUGUUUUCAUUAAUCAAGAACGAAAGUUAGGGGAUCGAAGACGAUCAGAUACCGUCGUAGUCUUAACCAUAAACGAUGCCAACCAGCGAUUAGCCUGAGUUCCCUAAAUGACUCGGCUAGCAGCUUCCG
rnacentral:misc_RNA from 1 species